GUGAAACCCUGUCUCUACUAAAAAUACAAAAAUUAGCCGGGUGUGGUGGCAGGCACCUGUAGUCCCAGCUACUCAGGAGGCUGAGGCAGGAGAAUUGCUUGAAUCUGGGAUGCAGAGGUUGCAAUGAGCUGAGAUCACACCACUGCACUCCAGCCUGGGUGACAGAGUGAGACUCUGUCUGAAAAAACAAAACAAAACAAAUACAGUCCUGGCCCGUCCUCAAAUCCCCAAGCCUUAAGCUUAUCAGAGCUAGAAGGCAGUCAUCUCAUCUGUGCCCCUCUUUUGACAAAUAAGGAAACCACCCUGAAGAGGUUGUGAUGCCCAAUGUCAGAUGGUUAGAGGCUAGACACUGCAAGUUUCCUUUUGUAAGAAGAUCCAAGGGCUUCUCCAGCUCCCCAGACUCAGGACUCAGACCACUGUGCUUUCUCUUAUCUGCACUGCCUCACUGUUCUUCAAAACUUUCCUUGUUUAGCCAGGUGUGGUGGUUCAUGCCUGUAAUCCCAACAUUUUGCGAAGCUGAGGU
rnacentral:lncRNA from 10 species